CUAUUUAAUAUGCUAAUGCGGGUAUUAGUAUCCAGGACUUUUGGCUUGGCUGGGUAAAAAUCGAAAUUGUUGGAGCAUACUGCUGACAAGCAUUGUGUAUUACAUGUUCUGUCUCGUUUAUUUCAACCCGCUGGGUUGGUAAUACUUAGCUAUGUACGUUAAUAACGGAUCCCAAUUGUCUACAGAUCUGAUGGAGAACUUCUAGGGUCCAACAGUCAAUGUUUGUACAAACUAGUUACAGUUUUUCCUGAGAUAGACUUUCAAAAUGUUUUGAUUGCUGAUGAUCUUACUCUUGUGAAACGCUACAAUUUCUCCA